rnacentral:rRNA from 1 species
GACGAACGCUGGCGGCGUGCUUAACACAUGCAAGUCGAGCGGAGCGGCGAACGGGUGAGUAACGCGUGAGUAACUGCCCCCCACUCUGGGAUAACAGUUGGAAACGGCUGCUCAUACCGGAUAGUGGGGGAUGACGCGCGGCCUAUCAGCUUGUUGGUGGGGUAGUGGCCUACCACGGCGACGACGGGUAGCCGGCCUGAUAGGGCGAACGGCCAAAUUGGGCUGGGAGACUGCCCGAACUCCUACGGGAGGCAGCAGUGGGGAAUAUUGCACAAUGGGGGAAACCCUGAUGCAACAACGCCGCGUGCGGGAUGACGGCCUUCGGGUUGUAAACCGCUUUCAGCCGUGACGCGGUAGUGGCAGAAGAAGCACCGGCUAACUACGUGCCAGCAGCCGCGGUAAUAC